rnacentral:rRNA from 1 species
UGAUUCAGCGGCGGACGGGUGAGUAAUGCCUAGGAAUCUGCCUAUUAGUGGGGGACAACGUUUCGAAAGGAACGCUAAUACCGCAUACGUCCUACGGGAGAAAGCAGGGGACCUUCGGGCCUUGCGCUAAUAGAUGAGCCUAGGUCGGAUUAGCUAGUUGGUGAGGUAAUGGCUCACCAAGGCGACGAUCCGUAACUGGUCUGAGAGGAUGAUCAGUCACACUGGAACUGAGACACGGUCCAGACUCCUACGGGAGGCAGCAGUGGGGAAUAUUGGACAAUGGGCGAAAGCCUGAUCCAGCCAUGCCGCGUGUGUGAAGAAGGUCUUCGGAUUGUAAAGCACUUUAAGUUGGGAGGAAGGGUUGUAGAUUAAUACUCUGCAAUUUUGACGUUACCGACAGAAUAAGCACCGGCUAACUCUGUGCCAGCAGCCGCGGUAAUACAGAGGGUGCAAGCGUUAAUCGGAAUUACUGGGCGUAAAGCGCGCGUAGGUGGUUUGUUAAGUUGGAUGUGAAAGCCCC